CUGGCACUUGGGAAAUUACUUGAGCUGCAGUGCACCACCAUGCCUCAUUGAGCUCCCUAAUUUGGCUAGAACAGAGGUCUACAACUAAGGGCUACUGUAUUUACAUUUUAUAUACAUGUGAAAGUUAUCUUUGUGAUUCGCUUCGGUUAGCAUCGAUUUCAAUGCAUAUGUCUUCCUUUCUCUUGUCAGUAGUGCAAUAUACUUCUAUUAAAUGAGAAAUAAUCCAGAGCAAUUCCUUCCAUUGUAUAUGAAGCUCUGCUAGGUUCCGAACAUAAAGAUCUCUUAUUACAGUGUAAACUGCUAGCAGAGCUACAUAGCGGAGUACAGAGUUGAUGUGAAGCUCUGCUAAGUUCCAAACAGAAAGAUCAACCCUAUUCUAAGGUUCAAUAUAUGAUUCUUUCUUUCAGUGUUCUUCCUUGAAAAUAAUCAAUGAUCAAAUCAUCUUCUUAGGUAUUGAUUUUUCUUUCUCAUGUUAAGCUAGCAUUUUGGUGCCGUGUAUUUCUAGAUUGUGCUCCUGCUAACUUGGCCCCCGUACUAAAGAUGCAUGGCUUGAUUUUAAAGUUAUGGUUAUGAACACAAAGCUAAUUUCUUGUGAAUUAAUCCCUAGAAUCUCUCUUUCGGCAGGUUCUUAUUUAUCUAUGCCUAUAUGUUGUUCCAUGAAAAUACAAGUAGACUCCAAGGUGGUGCUGCUUGGAUCUGGGGGAGCACUGGUGAGCCAUCCCUUCUCCGCCACCAUCCCUGAUUUCUUUGUGUGCAGUACAUAUGCAUGUUGUUUUAGAGCUACCCCCGUAUACAUCUGAUUAGUGAUUAACUUGCUGCAAAGAAGCCGUGUAGUCAUGAAAGUUGAACCAUGCCUGAAUUAGAAAUGACAGUUUUGUUGAUUUGCCUACUUUAUCUCAAGAACACGCCAUCCAUUGAUAUUUUCUAUAGAUCUUAGCUUCACUGUUCGAGUCUCUCGUGAGUGCAUUAAUCCCAAUCUGACACAAGAUAUUAUUCUUUGUUCCCCUUUCAUUUUGUUACUUACUUGUAGAGAGAAUGGAUCUUAAUUUUGAUUUUAUGAAUAGCCACAUCAAUUCUCUGAUUGUGGCACACACAAAUAAUUAGCUCUCUUCACUUCGAUUUGAAUUUGAGAGUAAUCAGUAGAGGAUUGGAUUCAUGGUCGCAAGAUCUCUAAGAUCGAUUAACUUGCUUUUAAUAUUAUAUGAAGUUCAAAUCCCUUUAUAUUCCAAGACAAGAAACACUGAGUUGUAAAACUCUGUCAGUGUUGAAUAGUGUAACAAAACACAUAUUGGGAUAAUUCUACUUUAAUUUGUUUGCCAUACUUACCAGCUCACCUGAUUUACCAGCUGUAAGCUUCAUUGAUCCAAAACCAUUUUAGCCAUCAUGAGAUCGAAGUUUGUAGGCCCCCCUUGAAUAAGCUAACGUUUCCACCUUAUUGUGGGUACCACGAAAACAUUAAUAAUAAGAGGCACAAACAAAUAUUAUUUUGUUUGUUUAGAUGAUGCAUUUCGUAACGUAUCAUGCAUUGAAAUAAUGAAUCCCUUGCUAUGUAGUAUUAUUUGUGCAAUUCCAUGCUACUCUGGGUGGAAGUUAUGUAUUAAUACUUUCAGUAUUGAUGGAUGGAUAGAUGUAUUGUGGUAAUAUAUAUUUUUGGGCACCCUGUGUGAUAAUAUUUUGAGAGAGUCUACCUCGAGAGAAUUACAUGAUGCAAGGGGUAUAACUUCGGUUCAGAUUCUUAUACAUAGUUCUCCUUAUAAUGUAGACUGUGACGUAUGAUGCUUCCAUGGCUUAGUUCAAGGAAUGACUGAUGCUAUUUUCUUGCCUAUGGGUUUGGGCUACUAAUUUUUAUUGCCAUAAUUUAUUGUUUGUCAUCUAAAAAGGAUUCAGAGGGAUACAAAGGGUCCUCUAAUUUGCAACCGAUUAAACUGCUUGGUUCCUGAUUCAUAUUUGUUUUUCUAUAUUAUGGACAACCGAUUAAGAAUAUUUACAGAGUAGGAGUCUUCGUUUGAUGCCACAUUUGACAUCACCCAGUUUGUGUGUAGGGUGCUUAAUAAGUUUCUUGAGAUGUAUGCACUGCAUGAAGGAGCACAUUUCUGUCAAUUUUACUAGAGGUCAAGGUUACCUUCAAAUGCAUGUAGUUAUUUGUAAGCUUCAACAGCUUGAAUGCAAUGGAAGUUUGGAUUGAAAGGAUUUUUGGUUGGCUAUAAGGAAGAGAGUAGUUGAUGGCCAUUUGUACUGUUGUUGUGGUCGUCCUUGGCGCAGAAGGGGUGGCGGGGGAGGCACAGAGAUGGGGCAAACCUUUCACUGUGUCUAAUCCACUUGAUUCCAUCAUUUUCUAUGAGAUGCACCAAUGAUUGUAACGAAUCUUCACGCUUUGUACUAAACCUUUACUACUAUGUAUUUUGUUUGCUCCUAUGUCAUGAGAAAUUCCAAAUGUUGGAUUUGUGCCUGGCACAUGCCGCGAGCCGGCUCAGUUGUCCCGGGCCUUGCUUUUGGAACAAAUGUUUGCUUACCUUGCUUUUGCUAUAUCUUCACCAUUUGUGAUGUACCAAACGUUUUCUUAAUCUGUAUGCUCUAAACUCGGUUUUCCUGGGCAACAACUAUAUACCUUACUUUCAGUAUAUCUCUAGUGUUUGUGAUUUGUACAUAACACAUUUGGCUUGACCAGUUAUUCUAAUUUCCUCUGAAUGUACAAAAUGCUAUGUUGGAGUUUUAUGCGUU
rnacentral:lncRNA from 1 species